CCUACGGGUGGCUGCAGUGGGGAAUAUUGCACAAUGGGCGCAAGCCUGAUGCAGCCAUGCCGCGUGUGUGAAGAAGGCCUUCGGGUUGUAAAGCACUUUCAGCGGGGAGGAAGGCGGUGAGGUUAAUAACCUCAUCGAUUGACGUUACCCGCAGAAGAAGCACCGGCUAACUCCGUGCCAGCAGCCGCGGUAAUACGGAGGGUGCAAGCGUUAAUCGGAAUUACUGGGCGUACAGCGCACGCAGGCGGUCUGUCAAGUCGGAUGUGAAAUCCCCGGGCUCAACCUGGGAACUGCAUUCGAAACUGGCAGGCUAGAGUCUUGUAGAGGGGGGUAGAAUUCCAGGUGUAGCGGUGAAAUGCGUAGAGAUCUGGAGGAAUACCGGUGGCGAAGGCGGCCCCCUAGACAAAGACUGACGCUCAGGUGCGAAAGCAUGGGGAGCAAACAGGAUUAGAUACCCGUGUAGUC
rnacentral:rRNA from 1 species